AGAAAGUGAUACUCAUCACAUUUAUCAACUGGUUGUUAUGCAAAUCGAUGGGAUAGCUUUAAUUUAUUUCCUGCAUUAUUAUUAUUUAUCUAGAAUCAUUUAGCAAAUCAAGCAAUUCUAUGGAGAUGAGGACCCCUGUUACAGUAACUACGUGAAUGCAGGUGACAGCAAAUCAAUCAUCUAUCUCCUAUCAAUCGGAGGCCCUAACCCUUGUUACAUCAAAAGAAUGAUGAUCUCUUUAAAUUGCCUCUAUGUAUGAAAUGUGCUAUAGGGCAGACAUGGUGUGUGUCCCUCACGGUUAUGUCUCAACAGAAGCAAUCUCAGUAGCCAGAGGAGGACCGGCCACCAGGUCAAAAUCAAAUAUAAGAACAUUCUUAGCAAUGCCACCAGAAAGCAGACUGCAUCCAUGGGUACUGGUGGGGGACCGCCGCCGGAGGAGCUCACACCAGCUGAGAUCCUGGCCCUUGGGAUAAAUAAGGGGCCCAAGAUAGUUGGGAUCGAGGGGGGGAGCUCCUCCAACCCUGUGGCCCCAGAGAUCCGGGCCCCAUAUGUUGAAGUGACAGGGGAUCAAAUUAUUCUCCUUGACCCACCACAAGUGCACAUUGAGGAUGCAGCCGGGACCCAAGUCGACCCAGUAG